GACGUAGGGGGCGAGCGUUGUCCGGAUUUAUUGGGCGUAAAGCGUGCGUAGGCGGCUGCGCAAGUCGGUUGUGAAACCCCGGGGCUCAACCCCGGAACUGCAUCCGAUACUGCGUGUCUAGAGGUAGGUAGGGGAGAUCGGAAUUCCUGGUGUAGCGGUGAAAUGCGCAGAUAUCGGGAGGAACACCAAUGGCGAAGGCAGCUUGCUGGGACGGUACUGACGCUGAGACGCGAAAGCGUGGGGAGCAAACAGG
rnacentral:rRNA from 1 species